GACAACUUCAAUAGUCUUUGGGAAUGGAAAGAACAAGAAAUAAGACAGGUAUCUACUAGGAGCCACUUGACAAUUCAAUGAAACGGAUGAAUAAUAGCAAACAUUAUAGAACUGUAUUGAUGGCAAUAUGAAUUACAAAGUAAAGGAAAUACAAUAAACCCUUCAAGAGGGCUGUACUCUCCACAAUAUGAUUUUCACUCACUAUUUAGCAUGCCCAAUCCUUUUCCCCACUUCCUUUAUUUAUAAGCUACUUGUAACAGUUUUUCCCUUCCAUUUUUACUCUCUAAUAGACUAAUUUUCUAUCCACUUGCGGGUUAUUCUUCUUCUAGGUCUUUCUAGAAUGCGCGAGUUGGAAUGAAGCCUAUCAAUACCCCGAGUUAUAAAUCCACCUUGUCCACAAGGUGGUAGUUAAUGAAGUGUUGGUGAUGCCAAUUGCAUGCUCUUCCAUCGUCAAGAUUUUGGUAGGAAAGAUUUCUAUCCCAUUUGAAGCACACACAUUUAAAGGUGUAGCUAGCAUGGUAUAUUUGGGUCCACCUGGAUUUUGGGCUGUCAUACCCACUUAAUUUUUGUCUUCAAUUAGUUAUGUCAUUUUGACAAUAGAGCCUAACCCAUUGGGACAUAAUAGAACAACUUCAGCCCAAGUGUCUAAUUUUAGCCCAUUAAUGAAUUUAAUCCCACUAGGUCUUCUAACUUAUUGUAAUCAGAUGGAGUGCAGAUAGCCGCCAGAUUUCCAGUGAGAUAUGCUAUCUUGAUGAGCCCUUCCAGACGCGAAACCUUCUUUACAUUGAGUUGGAUACGGUCGGCCCAAAGUGGUGCAAAGAAACCACCAGAAGGCUCCAACAGAUGCUUCUUUGUCAUUGAACGCAUCCAUCGCCAAAACCUUGCACGAUGUCUCUACCACAAUCUUCUUGUCGAGAUGCAGCCCCUUCUCCCUUUUUGUAUGAAGCUCGACAACCGUCAACCUCUUAAACAACGACGCCACCUUCAUCGUGUUAGCAGGUCGUAGUGUGGUGGUCACUGGGAUUGAGUCACGGGUUUUGGAAUGCCCCGCGAAUGGAACUACGCUGGUGGAGUAGUUUUGAUAAGGGAAAACACGUGGGUUGUAGCUAAUAUGUGGGCUGCUGGAGUUAGUUUUGAUUAUGGACGGGCCAAAACUUAAUUGGGCUUGUUUUAAAUACUCAUUUCGAUCUUCUACCUACUGGUCCACCUCCCUGCCAAAGUCCAAAUCCAUCCAAUUCAAUAAUUUCCAUUCGUUCCUCUUCUCCAGAUUUAGCCGAAUUGCAAAGAUCCUUUCCAUCUCCGAUCUCUUCUACUUUGGCAAUGGUGAUGGUAAGAUUUCAGUUAGUUUCCGAUUUCUUCUUACAAUGGUUUCCUCACAGCAGCUUCGACUAACUGCACUUUAUCCCACUUCGUUAGUUUUGGGUGGGAUUUUCUGUGUCUCAAUGUUUCCAGUCAAAUUCACCGGCAAAGGGGCUUCAGAAAUCGCCAGCUCAGGUGAGUUCUCUGCUAUUUCUUUUUCAUUCCACUCUCUUUCUUGCUAAUCCAUUUUUCUCAUCAUCAAAUCGAACCUCUCUAUCAUUCUAGACAUUGCUCUCAGAAAUUCAAUUUUCAUUGCACCUAACUCAAAUUGUAGGCGGUCAGUUCUCUCUUAUAAGGACUCCACUAUAGAACCGUAUUGAUGACAAGAUGAAUUACAGAAAUAAAGGAAAUACAAUCAGCAUUUCGAAAGGGUUGUACUCUCCACGAUAUAGUUUUAAUUCACUAUUUUGCAUGCCAAAUCCUUUCCCCUCCCCUUCUUUAUUUGAGAGCUAUUUGUAACUGUUUUUCUCUCCCACUUUUUAUACUCUAACAGUCUAGCUUUCCACCCAUUUGCAGGUUAUUCUUCUUCUUGGUCCUUCUAGAAUGUGUGAGGUGGAUUGGAGCCUAUCAGUAUCUUCAUAUCUCAAAGAAAAGUAUAUGAUGGAUUCAUUGAAAUAAACAAGUAUGCUUGGCUGUAAACCUUGUGAAACUCCGGUUGAGCCUAAUGGAAAAUUGGGUAAAGAGGCAAGAAAUCCAAUAUACGGGGAGAGAUAUGAGAGAAUAGUUGGAAGAUUGAUUUAUUUGUCACAUACUUAACUUGAUAUUGCUUUUGCAGUAAGCAUGGUCAGUUAAUAUAUGCACUAUCCAUUUCAAGGGCAUUUAGAUGCAGUUUAUAGGACUAGGAAAGUAUUGUUUUUUUUUGGGAAGAAUGUAGAAAGAGGUGUGGAAGUUUAUAUAGAUGCAGAUUGGGGCAGGCUCAAUUGAAUGAUAGAAAAUCCACUUCUGGUUAUGGUACAAUUGUUUGGGAAAAUUUAGUUAAAGGAAAAAUAAUGAAGUAGCCUGAAGUUGCGAAGGCAGAACUUCGAGCAUUAGUCCCUGAAGUGUGUGAAAUAAUUUGGAUAAGGAGACUACUAGAAGAAUUGAAGUUUCCGUGUAUGAAGCUUAUAAAGAUUAUUUGUGAUAAUAAGGCCGCAAUUAGUAUUACCUAUAAUUUGGUCCAUUAUGUUCUCACCAAGCAAGUGGAGAUUGACAAGCAUUUUCUAAAAGAGAAGAUCAAUAGUGGUGAAGUAUGUGUUUUGUUCGUGCUAUCCAAGGAGCAGGUAGCAAAUAUUUUUACGAGGGGUGUAGCAAGACAAAGCUUUGAAAAGUGUAUAGACAAGUUGGGGUGAUUAAUAUCUUCACACCGGCUUGAGGCGAGUGUUGAGAGGUUACGAUUUUAUUGUAAUAUAGUUAUCAUAGUUUAGUUUUAUCUUCGUUGAAAUUAAAUAAAUCCGGUAAGAUAAGAUAAGCCAGUUGGUUGGCUAGUUAGGAAUUGUUCCUUUUAUUUCUCUACAGAUUAUAUUCAAAUUAGAUAAGUCCUAUUUUUUAUGGGAUAUGAUAUUGUAUUCCCC
rnacentral:lncRNA from 1 species